rnacentral:rRNA from 1 species
AUUGAACGCUGGCGGCAGGCCUAACACAUGCAAGUCGAGCGGAGCGGCGGACGGGUGAGUAUGAGCUAUGUAUCUGCCUGUGAGUGGGGGAUGAGGUUCGUAAACGGACGCUAAAACCGCACACUAUCGCAUUAGCAUAGGUCGGAUUAGCUAGUUGGUGGGGUAAGGGCGCACAAAGGCGACGAGCAGUAACUGGUCUGAGAGGAUGAUCAGCCACACUGGAACUGAGACACGGUCCAGACUCCUACGGGAGGCAGCAGUGGGGAAUAUUGCACAAUGGGCGAAAGCCUGAUCCAGCCAUGCCGCGUGUAUGAAGAAGGUCUUCGGAUUGUAAAGCACUUUAAGUGGGGAGGCGUUACCGACAGAAGAAGCACCGGCUAACUCUGUGCCAGCAGCCGCGGUAAUAC